UACGUAGGGACCGAGCGUUGUCCGGAAUCAUUGGGCGUAAAGAGCGUGUAGGCGGCUAUUUAAGUCCUGCGUGAAAUCCUGCGGCUCAACCGCAGACGGUCGUGGGAAACUGGAUGGCUAGAGUGCGGGAGAGGAGAGUGGGAAUUCCCGGUGUAGCGGUGAAAUGCGCAGAUAUCAGGAGGAACACCGGUGGCGAAGGCGGGUCUCUGGGCCGAUGCCUGCGCUGAGGAGCGAA
rnacentral:rRNA from 1 species